rnacentral:rRNA from 1 species
AGAGUUUGAUCCUGGCUCAGGACGAACGCUGGCGGCGUGCCUAACACAUGCAAGUCGAGCGGAGAUAUUAGCAAUAAUAUCUUAGCGGCGGACGGGUGAGUAACGCGUGGGCAACCUGCCUCAAACUGGGGGAUAACACAGGGAAACUUGUGCUAAUACCGCAUAAAAUCAUAGGAGGACAUCCUCUAAUGAUCAAAGGA